rnacentral:tRNA from 1 species
UGUGGUUUAGAGUAACGGUAACUCAAAGGUCUCAUAAGCCUUGGAUGUUGGUUCGAAUCCAGCAGCCGCAA